UCCGUAAAAAGCUAUACGUUCGGAAAUUCACAACUAACCCAAACACAUAUUCAAUUACAGCCUAAACACAGUUUCAUCCAACGUAAUUUUUCCAGCAUUCAUAAUCCCAAUUAGGGUCAAUUCAACGGCUAUCACUACCCAUGACAUGUUAAUCUAUAAUACCCAUCAAACGACGAUAAACCCCCCUUACCUGAGAUAAUCCG
rnacentral:lncRNA from 1 species